CCUACGGGAGGCAGCAGUGAGGAAUAUUGGUCAAUGGACGAAAGUCUGAACCAGCCAAGUAGCGUGCAGGAUGACGGCCCUCCGGGUUGUAAACUGCUUUUAGUUGGGAAUAAAAGGGGGCUCGUGAGCCCCGUAUUGUAUGUACCAUCAGAAAAAGGACCGGCUAAUUCCGUGCCAGCAGCCGCGGUAAUACGGAGGGUCCGGGCGUUAUCCGGAUUUAUUGGGUAUAAAGGGAGCGUAGGCGGGCUUUUAAGUCAGCGGUGAAAGUCCGCGGCUCAACCGUGGAAUUGCAGUUGAAACUGGAGGUCUUGAGUACACGUAGGGAAGCCGGAAUUCAUGGUGUAGCGGUGAAAUGCGUAGAGAUCAUGAGGAAUACCGAUCGAGAAGGCGAGAGGCCGGAGUACAACUGACGCUGAGGCGCGAAAGUGUGGGUAGCAAACAGGAUUAGAUACCCUAGUAGUC
rnacentral:rRNA from 1 species